AUUGAACGCUGGCGGCAGGCCUAACACAUGCAAGUCGAGCGGAUGAAGGGAGCUUGCUCCUGGAUUCAGCGGCGGACGGGUGAGUAAUGCCUAGGAAUCUGCCUGGUAGUGGGGGAUAACGUCCGGAAACGGGCGCUAAUACCGCAUACGUCCUGAGGGAGAAAGUGGGGGAUCUUCGGACCUCACGCUAUCAGAUGAGCCUAGGUCGGAUUAGCUAGUUGGUGGGGUAAAGGCCUACCAAGGCGACGAUCCGUAACUGGUCUGAGAGGAUGAUCAGUCACACUGGAACUGAGACACGGUCCAGACUCCUACGGGAGGCAGCAGGGGGGAAUAUUGGACAAUGGGCGGAAGCCUGAUCCAGCCAUGCCGCGUGUGUGAAGAAGGUCUUCGGAUUGUAAAGCACUUUAAGUUGGGAGGAAGGGCAGUAAGUUAAUACCUUGCUGUUUUGACGUUACCAACAGAAUAAGCACCGGCUAACUUCGUG
rnacentral:rRNA from 1 species